rnacentral:rRNA from 1 species
UACAGAGGUCUCAAGCGUUGUUCGGAUUCAUUGGGCGUAAAGGGUGCGUAGGCGGUGAAGUAAGCUGGAUGUGAAAUCCCGGGGCUUAACCCCGGAACUGCAUUCAAUACUGCUUUGCUAGAGUACUGGAGAGGAGAUUGGAAUUCACGGUGUAGCAGUGGAAUGCGUAGAUAUCGUGAGGAAGACCAGUGGCGAAGGCGAAUCUCUGGACAGUAACUGACGCUGAGGCACGAAGGCUAGGGGAGCAAACGGG